rnacentral:rRNA from 1 species
AUUGAACGCUGGCGGCAGGCCUAACACAUGCAAGUCGAGCGGAUGAAGAGAGCCUGCUCUCUGAUUCAGCGGCGGACGGGUGAGUAAUGCCUAGGAAUCUGCCUGGUAGUGGGGGGACAACGUUUCGAAAGGAACGCUAAUACCGCAUACGUCCUACGGGAGAAAGUGGGGGAUCUUCGGACCUCACGCUAUCAGAUGAGCCUAGGUACGAUUAGCUAGUUGGUGAGGUAAAGGCUCACCAAGGCGACGAUCGUUAACUGGUCUGAGAGGAUGAUCAGUCACACUGGAACUGAGACACGGUCCAGACUCCUACGGGAGGCAGCAGUGGGGAAUAUUGGACAAUGGGCGAAAGCCUGAUCCAGCCAUGCCGCGUGUGUGAAGAAGGUCUUCGGAUUGUAAAGCACUUUAAGUUGGGAGGAAGGGCAGUAAGUUAAUACCUUGCUGUUUUGACGUUUACCGACAGAAUAAGCACCGGCUAACUUCGUGCCAGCAGCCGCGG